CCUACGGGAGGCAGCAGUGGGGAAUCUUGCACAAUGGAGGAAACUCUGAUGCAGCGAUGCCGCGUGAGUGAAGAAGGCCUUUGGGUUGUAAAGCUCUUUUGUAGGGGAAGAUAAUGACUGUACCCUAAGAAUAAGGUCCGGCUAACUUCGUGCCAGCAGCCGCGGUAAUACGAAGGGACCUAGCGUAGUUCGGAAUUACUGGGCGUAAAGCGCGCGUAGGCCGUUGAGUUAGUUAAUUGUGAAAUCCCAAAGCUUAACUUUGGAACUGCAAUUAAAACUGCUCGACUAGAGUUUGAUAGAGGAAAGCGGAAUACAUAGUGUAGAGGUGAAAUUCGUAGAUAUUAUGUAGAACACCAGUUGCGAAGGCGGCUUUCUGGAUCAACACUGACGCUGAGGCGCGAAAGUAUGGGUAGCAAAGAGGAUUAGAUACCCUCGUAGUCCAUACCAUAAACGAUGGUUGCUAGAUGUUGGAAAUUUAUUUUCAGUAUCGCAGCUAACGCAUUAAGCAAUCCGCCUGGGGAGUACGACCGCAAGGUUAAAACCUCAAAAGAGUAAUUCGGACGUGAGAGCGUCGACCGACGCCACGAGGAGGUAG
rnacentral:rRNA from 1 species